UACGUAGGAGGCGAGCGUUGUCCGGAGUUACUGGGCGUAAAGCGCAUGCAGGCGGUCAACUCAGUCUGUGCUGACAGUUCCCGGCUUAACUGGGAAAGUGGUACGGAUACUGGUUGACUUGAGGGCUUCAGAGGGAUGUGGAACUCCGGGGUGGAGUGGUGAAAUGCGUAGAUAUCCGGGAAGAACACCAAAGGCGAAGGCAGCAUCCUGGGGAAGUACCUGACGCUCAGAUGCGAAAGCCCAGGGGGAGCGAAACGGGG
rnacentral:rRNA from 1 species